rnacentral:rRNA from 1 species
AGAGUUUGAUCCUGGCUCAGAUUGAACGCUGGCGGCAUGCUUUACACAUGCAAGUCGAACGGGGUUAAGGGGCUUGCUCCUUAAUCUAGUGGCGAACGGGUGAGUAAUGCAUCGGAACGUACCCGGGAGUGGGGGAUAACGCACCGAAAGGUGUGCUAAUACCGCAUAUUCUGUGAGCAGGAAAGCAGGGGACCUUAGGGCCUUGUGCUUCCGGAGCGGCCGAUGUCGGAUUAGCUAGUUGGUGAGGUAAAGGCUCACCAAGGCGACGAUCCGUAGCGGGUCUGAGAGGAUGAUCCGCCACACUGGGACUGAGACACGGCCCAGACUCCUACGGGAGGCAGCAGUGGGGAAUUUUGGACAAUGGGCGCAAGCCUGAUCCAGCCAUGCCGCGUGUCUGAAGAAGGCCUUCGGGUUGUAAAGGACUUUUGUCAGGAAGGAAAACCUAUUGGCUAAUAUCCAGUGGGGAUGACAGUACCUGAAGAAUAAGCACCGGCUAACUACGUGC